GUCUUCCCUUCCUACAUUGAUGGGUUAAUGGAAGGCAUGUUGUAGUCUUGUGGUCGGGCCUGUGAUCCAUUCGAUGGUCAUGGUGCUCGUCUUCAUGGGUUGACCGUUUCUUGAAAAAGGUCCGACAUGGAUCAUACCACAGUACCCUGAACAGCACAGAUGAUGGUGUCCUUUCAGACAAAGGUGGCGGUUGGGGAAGCAAUGGUUGUGGAAGUCGCGAAGAUUAGUAAAGAUUUUGUAAAGACAAGCUUUUAUGGACAGAAUACAAGGGCGCUUGGAGAAAAGAAGUUUCAUUGGCGGAUCCAGAACGA